CCUGUGUACACCCACCUGAAACGCGAGGCAGCAAAAGUUGGACUGAUGGUGAAUGCGUCCAAGACAAAGUACUCGGUAACCACGCAGCCAGAAAAAUGUCUACCAUCAUUGACAACCAGAUGGCGUAUGCAAAAGCCGAUUGGUAGCAUGCAUUAGUAGCAAAUGGGGGCCAUUCUAGACAACUCAAAAAGUAACAUCGACCAUUUGUCCAAAUAACUCCAUCAGAGAAAGGUGGAAAAACCUCGUGGUUAUAGCACAGAACCGUGGUUUAUCUCAAAAUUGGGCAACAGAUCCGGCCAUCGCUACAUCAGGCCGAAGACCAGAAGACAAAGGGACGAGGUGAUCCCAGGCCCAUUCUUCAAGCCGAUCAUCGUGUGGUCCAGAAAGGCGGCGAAGAUCGCGACGUUAUUGGAAAAGGACCAGCAGAUUACGCUUGCAGAAGAAAGGGGCCCCUGAAGAAGCAAGAAAACUAAGGUUAGAAUAGUCCCAAGAAAGUGGGUGAGGUAGGGUGAAAAAGUGAUAGCGAGGCUAGACAGAAGAAAAGUGUGUGGCAGAGAGAGAAGAAGUAGAGUAAACAUAAGUGCGAAAAGGCAA